rnacentral:rRNA from 1 species
UUACCUACGGGGGGCAGCAGUGGGGAAUAUUGCACAAUGGGGGGAACCCUGAUGCAGCGACGCCGCGUGGGCGAUGGAGUAUUUCGGUAUGUAAAGCCCUAUCGGCAGGGAAGAAACUGACAGUACCUGACUAAGAAGCCCCGGCUAACUACGUGCCAGCAGCCGCGGGAAUACGUAGGGGGCAAGCGUUAUCCGGAUUCACUGGGCGUAAAGGGAGCGCAGGCGGCACGGCAAGCCUGGGGUGAAAACCCGGGGCCCAACCCCGGGAGUGCAUUGGGAACUG